rnacentral:rRNA from 1 species
UACGUAGGGGGCAAGCGUUGUCCGGAUUUAUUGGGCGUAAAGAGCGUGUAGGCGGCCAGGUAGGUCAGCUGUGAAAACUCGAGGCUCAACCUCGAGACGCCGGUUGAAACCAUCUGGCUAGAGUCCGGAAGAGGAGAGUGGAAUUCCCGGUGUAGCGGUGAAAUGCGCAGAUAUCGGGAAGAACACCCGUGGCGAAGGCGGCUCUCUGGAACGCAACUGACGCUGAGACGCGAAAGCGUGGGGAGCAAACAGG